UCCCCCGAAAGUUGUUUAGAAGAGUUUUGGUUCUUCGGGGGACAAAGUGACAGGUGGUGCAUGGUUGUCGUCAGCUCGUGUCGUGAGAUGUUGGGUUAAGUCCCGCAACGAGCGCAACCCUUAUCUUUAGUUGCCAUCAUUAGGUUGGGCACUCUAGAGAGACUGCCGGUGACAAACCGGAGGAAGGUGGGGAUGACGUCAAAUCAUCAUGCCCCUUAUGAUUUGGGCUACACACGUGCUACAAUGGAUGGUACAAAGGGCAGCAAAACCGCGAGGUCAAGCAAAUCCCAUAAAACCAUUCUCAGUUCGGAUUGUAGUCUGCAACUCGACUACAUGAAGCUGGAAUCGCUAGUAAUCGUAGAUCAGCAUGCUACGGUGAAUACGUUCCCGGGUCUUGUACACACCGAGGG
rnacentral:rRNA from 1 species